rnacentral:tmRNA from 1 species
GGGGACGCACGGGUUCGACAGGGGAAGUAGGCUUCAGGAUUGCAAGCUGAGGUGCCACUACCCUCACGAAACAAGUGGAGAAAAAUAACUGACGAACCAGAAUUAGUUCUUGCAGCCUAAUUAAACAGGUUGCACGCUCAACCUGACCUAUCCUCAAUGGGUUGGGAUUGGGUGCCGAAAAGUUGAGGUGCCACAGUCCUGACGUCGGUAAGGAUUGUGAAAGAAUUAUCGACUGGCCUGGCUAAACUCGGUCAGUAGAGGUUAGCCAGGUGAGAUUAAAGAGCUGACUAAGCUUGUAGCAUAUUCUGGGCAGCUUCUUCUGGACGGGGAGUUCGAUUCUCCCCCGUCUCCACCA